CCCCAGCUUCUUCGGAGGAAUAUUAAAAUUUUAUAAUAAACCGACCGAGCCUUAUAUAGGCUGCCUACGUAUCCGCCAAGGAAAUCAGGUCGAACGUAGUUCCAAUUACAUGCAAAAGAUAUAUUGAAAUUUCUAAUUAAAUAUGACCGAGUCCCUAUGUGGGCUGCCUACGUAUCCACCAAGGAAAUCAGGUCAAGCGUAGUUCACCUUACAUAAAAAGAAAUUUAAAACAUACAAAUAAUGAUCACUUAAAGCUCACACCCUUUAGAUGCCCUAUUAGGAGGCCC
rnacentral:lncRNA from 1 species